GAUGAACGCUGGCGGCAUGCCUAACACAUGCAAGUCGAUCGGUAAGGCUCUUCGGAGUACCCGAGAGGCGGACGGCUGAGUAACGCGUAGGAACACACCCUGCAGUGAGGGAUAAGACACCGAAAGGUGUUCUAAUACCGCAUACGGUCUUCGGAUUAAAGCAUUUAUGCGCUGAAGGAGUGGCCCGCGUCAUAUUAGAUAGUUGGUGAGGUAAUGGCUCACCAAGUCGAUGAUGUGUAGCUGGUCUGAGAGGAUGAUCAGCCAGACUGGAACUGAGACACGGUCCAGACUCCUACGGGAGGCAGCAGUGAGGAAUAUUUCACAAUGAGCGAAAGCUUGAUGGAGCAAUGCCGCGUGCAGGAUGAAGGCCCUCGGGUUGUAAACUGCUUUUAUAAGAGAAGAUUAUGACGGUAACUUAUGAAUAAGGGACGGCUAACUACGUG
rnacentral:rRNA from 1 species